rnacentral:rRNA from 1 species
GACGAACGCUGGCGGCGUGCUUAACACAUGCAAGUCGAACGAAGUGGCGAACGGGUGAGUAACGCGUAAUAAACCUGCCCUUCAGAGGGGGACAACAGUUGGAAAAGACUGCUAAUACCGCAUACUGAAGGAGGGGAUUGCGUCUGAUUAGGUAGUUGGAGGGGUAACGGCCCACCAGUGCGAUGUUCAGUAGCCGGUCUGAGAGGAUGAUCGGCAACAUUUGGGCUGUGACACGACACAGACUCCUACGGGAGGCAGCAGUGGGGAUUCUUCCGCAAUGGACGAAAGUCUGACUGAGCAACGCCGCGUGAGUGAUGACGGCCUUCGGUUUGUAAAGCUCUGUUAAUCGGGACGCGGUACCGGAAUAGAAAGCCACGGCUAACUACGUGCCAGCAGCCGCGGUAAUUC